CUACGGGUGGCACCAGGCGCGGAACCUCUGCAAUGCACGAAAGUGUGACAGGGGAACUCCACGUGACUACUUUUUGUAGUCUUUUAUCCAGUCUAAAUAGCUGGGUGAAUAAGGGCUGGGCAAGAUUCGUGCCAGCCGCCGCGGUAAUACGAACAGCUCAAGUGGGUUCGUGAAUACUGGGUUUAAAGCGUCCGUAGCUGGUUUGAUCAGUUUCUGGUGAAAGCUUGCGUCUCAAGCGUGAGAGUUGCCAGAAAUACAGUCAGACUUGGAGCCGGGAAGGGCAAAAGGUAUUCCAGGGGUAGGAGUAAAAUCCUAUAAUCCUUGGAGGACCAUCAGUGGCGAAGGCGUUUUGCUAGAACGGCCUCGACAGUGAGGGACGAAAGCUAGGGGAGCAACGCGGAUUAGAUACCCGGGUAGUC
rnacentral:rRNA from 1 species